rnacentral:rRNA from 1 species
UACGUAGGUGGCAAGCGUUGUCCGGAAUUAUUGGGCGUAAAGCGCGCGCAGGCGGUCCUUUAAGUCUGAUGUGAAAGCCCACGGCUCAACCGUGGAGGGUCAUUGGAAACUGGGGGACUUGAGUACAGAAGAGAAGAGUGGAAUUCCACGUGUAGCGGUGAAAUGCGUAGAGAUGUGGAGGAACACCAGUGGCGAAGGCGACUCUUUGGGCCAUACCUGACGCUGAGGCGCGAAAGCGUGGGGAGCGAACCGA